UGGGGAAUAUUGCACAAUGGGCGCAAGCCUGAUGCAGCCAUGCCGCGUGUGUGAAGAAGGCCUUCGGGUUGUAAAGUACUUUCAGCGGGGAGGAAGGGAGUAAAGUUAAUACCUUUGCUCAUUGACGUUACCCGCAGAAGAAGCACCGGCUAACUCCGUGCCAGCAGCCGCGGUAAUACGGAGGGUGCAAGCGUUAAUCGGAAUUACUGGGCGUAAAGCGCACGCAGGCGGUUGAUUGAGUCAGAUGUGAAAUCCCCGGGCUUAACCCGGGAAUUGCAUCUGAUACUGGUCAGCUAGAGUCUUGUAGAGGGGGGUAGAAUUCCAUGUGUAGCGGUGAAAUGCGUAGAGAUGUGGAGGAAUACCGGUGGCGAAGGCGGCCCCCUGGACAAAGACUGACGCUCAGGUGCGAAAGCGUGGGGAGCAAACAGG
rnacentral:rRNA from 1 species